rnacentral:rRNA from 1 species
CCUACGGGGAGCAGCAGUGAGGAAUAUUGGUCAAUGGCCGGAAGCCUGAAGCAGCCAUGCCGCGUGAAGGUCAGUGCCCUACGGGCGUUAAACUUCUUUUGUGCGGGAGCAAUAGUGGCCACGCGUGGCAAGACGAGAGUAACGUACGCUUAAGCAUCGGCUAACUCCGUGCCAGCAGCCGCGGCCAUACGGGGGAUGCAAGCGGUAACCGGAUUUAUCGGGUUUAAAGGGUGCGUAGGCUGUGCGGUAAGUUAGCGGGGCAGUGCCACGGCGUAAAGGGGUGAAGUGCCAUUGAUACUGGCAAGCUGGAGUGCGGGAGACGAUGGAGGAAUGUGUGGUGUAGGGGUGAAAUGCGUAGAUAUCAGGCGGAACACCGGUUGCGAAGGCGACUCACGGGUCCGCAACUGACGCUGAGGAGCGAAAGCGUGGGUAGCAAACAGGAUUAGAUACCCGGGUAGUC